rnacentral:rRNA from 1 species
UGAGGAAUAUUGCACAAUGGGCGCAAGCCUGAUGCAGCGACGCCGCGUGUGGGAUGAAGGGGCUACGCCUCGUAAACCACUGUAGCCCGGGACGAAAAACGCCUUAGAGGCGUUAGACGGUACCGGGAAAGUAAGGGUCGGCUAACUACGUGCCCGCAGCCGCGGUAAUACGUAGGACCCAAGCGUUGUCCGGAUUUACUGGGUGUAAAGGGUGCGCAGGCGGAUGGGUAAGUCAGGGGUGAAAGUCUGCAGCUUAACUGUA